GAAAUGCGAUAAGUAGUGUGAAUUGCAGAAUUCAGUGAAUCAUCGAAUCUUUGAACGCACAUUGCGCCCUCUGGUAUUCCGGAGGGCAUGCCCGUUCGAGCGUCAUAAGAACCCCCCUCAAGCGAUUCCGCUUGGUCAUGGGCCCGGGCCCCGCCACCGCCGUCGGUGGUGGCGGGGUCCCCGUCCGAAUAGCAUUGCGCGGAGCGAUGCCGCCGUCUGCGGAAGUAAUAGACCAAUUUGCCUCCGUCAGCGCGAGCAGGAAGUUCCCGCCAGCAAAACCCCCAACUUUCCUUGAAAGCAUGACCUCGGACGGGUAGGGAUACCCGCUGAACUUAA
rnacentral:misc_RNA from 1 species